rnacentral:rRNA from 1 species
GGUUGUUAUAUAGAGUCUGGCCUGCCCACUGACAUACGUUAAAGGGCCGCGGUAUUUUGACCGUGCGAAGGUAGCAUAAUCAUUAGUCUUUUAAUUGGAGGCUUGUAUGAAUGGUUGGACAAAAAAUAAGCUGUCUCUGUUUUAUUUCUUGAAUUUAACUUUUAAGUGAAAAGGCUUAAAUGUUCUAGGGGGACGAUAAGACCCUAUAAAGCUUUACAGUGUGUUAAUUAAAUUAUAAAUUGUUAGUAUAAACUUGGUUUGGUUAGUAGCUGUUUCGUUGGGGCGACGAAAAUAUAAUUGAUAGUAACUGUUUUUCUUU